rnacentral:rRNA from 1 species
UGAAUACGAGACGCUAAGGCGUCGAAGUAGUGUAUGUCAUACUUCCAAGAAAAGCUUGCACUGUCAUAGAUAAAAAACGCCUGUACCAUAACCGACACAGGUGGGUAGGUAGAGUAUACUAAGGGGCGCGAGAUAACUCUCUCUAAGGAACUCGGCAAAAUAACUCCGUAACUUCGGGAGAAGGAGUGCCUUAUUCGUAAGGUUGCAAUAACAAGAUCCAAGCAACUGUUUAUCAAAAACACAGGUCUCCGCUAAGUCGUAAGACGAUGUAUGGGGCUGACGCCUGCCCAGUGCCAGAAGGUUAAAGAAGUUGGUUAGCAAUUGCGAAGCUGAUAACUGAAGCCCUGGUGAACGGCGGCCGUAACUAUAACGGUCCUAAGGUAGCGAAAUUCCUUGUCGGGUAAGUUCCGACCCGCACGAAAGGCGUAAUGAUUUGGAUACUGUCUCGGAGAGGGGCUCGGUGAAAUAGACUUGUCUGUGAAGAUGCGGACUACCUGCACCAGGACAGAAAGACCCUAUGAAGCUUUACUGUAACUUGAAAUUGAAAUUGGACUUUAUUCGCGCAGUAUAGGUGGGAGGCGUUGAUUAUAAUCUUGUGGGAUUAUUGGAGCCAUCAGUGAGAUACCACUCUUGUAAUGUUAGAUUUCUAACUUUGAAUCAUUAUCUGGUCAAAGAACAGUUUCAGGCGGGCAGUUUGACUGGGGCGGUCGCCUCCUAAACGGUAACGGAGGCGUACAAAGGUUUCCUCUGAACGGUUAGAAAUCGUAUCUAGAGUGUAAAGGCAUAAGGAAGCUUGACUGUGAGACCUACAAGUCGAGCAGGGACGAAAGUCGGUCUUAGUGAUCUGACGGUACUGAGUGGAAAGGCCGUCACUCAACGGAUAAAAGUUACUCUAAGGAUAACAGGCUGAUCUCCCCCAAGAGUUCACAUCGACGGGGAGGUUUGGCACCUCGAUGUCGGCUCAUCGCAUCCUGGGGCGGUAGUACGUCCCAAGGGUUGGGCUGUUCGCCCAUGAAAGCGGUACGCGAGCUGGGUUCAGAACGUCGUGAGACAGUUCGGUCCAUAUCCGGUGUAGGCGUUAGAAUAUUGAGAGGAGCCUUCUUUAGUACGAGAGGACCGAGAAGGACAUACCUCUGGUGUACCAGUUAUCGUGCCAACGGUAAACGCUGGGUAGCUAUGUAUGGAGUGGAUAACCGCUGAAAGCAUCUAAGUGGGAAGCCCACCUCAAGAUAAGUAUUCUCAU